UAGUAGAAUGAUUUAUAAUCUUUUGCGUUAUUUACCUAGUAAUGGGAUUGGUGGGUCAAAUGCAUGAACAGCAACCAUGUUUAUGAAACCAAGGUUGAAAUCAGUAUUUGCACUACAAGUCUCCCUACUUUUUUUUAAAGAAGCAUAGAAAUUUUGACUAUUGAGUAAAUAUUUACCCAUGAAAUUUUGUGUGAUAUUUUAAAAUAAUAUUCCUUCCCAAUAAUAGCAGGAUGUUAGAUUUAUAUUAAUAUUAGAGGUUUGGCCUGAAUAUUAGAACACAUGUCUUGUGUAACAUAUAUAAGCCAUCUUCUAUGCUUUUUGGGGAUUGGGGAUUCAGCAAUUUGCAAAGCAGGAACUUGCAGUGUUACUACAUGAUUAUAUUUGAAAGUGCAUGAUUCUGUUUCAUAGUAGCCUGCAUUGAAAUGCUGUUUGUCAGGGUGUUUAUUCCAAGCAAAAUUAAAGUUAAUAAAUGGUUGUCUAAUCCACAUCUAAGCCUUUGACAUAAAAAUAUAGUUUAAAAAAUUUCCUCAUAACAACUGUGUGCCAUUGUAGCAUCUUUUAUUGAAAGGAACUUUAUUUAAGUAGCAUAAACUUGUUGGAUGGGCUUUAAUUAAAUGAUGAUUUGUUAAUGCAAAUGUGUAGCAAAUGACUGGUAGUACAUCUGUCUCUUCAUCCACAGGCCAUUACUGAGCAAUGUUAGCACAUGAUUGUAAAAAGAGAAAUCAUUACAUGUAGGUAGUACAUAUUCAAUCCAUUCUGACCUUAUGUCUCUGGCAAAAUAAAAAGUAUGUAAUGUAAAUGAUAUUUAAUCUGAAUAACAAAAAAGCAGCUCUUUGACUCUGUGGCUCAAGCUGUUAGGUUAGGUGACUGCUGUUUGGAAUUGAUGGUUAUUGGUGGCCCAGUGGGGAAAGGCUAUCACUUUUAUUCUUUGUCAUUCCUCCCAUGCAUUUCUCUAACCCGCAUUAUAUUUAAAGUUCUGUUUUCCUUUUUUUCUUUUCUCUUUUUUUUCUUUUCAUUUUUUCUAUCUUUUGGUGAGUAGUUUGUGGGAUAGUGGUAAAAAAAAAAAAAUGGGUGCUGAUGACCACCAAUGUAAGCAUGUUAAGCAAGCAGUGACAAUUAAUACAAUAACAACAAAAAUUGUACAGUUAGCUUCAGCUCCAUAAGUGUCUAAUGAGCCAUUUGUCAGUCUUUUGGUGAAACAAACUACUCUAUCUUAAUUCUCCACUCUUGCAGUAAAUAAAUAAAAGUUAUGAGAUACCCGGGCACCAAUAAAAUAUAAUUUAUUUCAUAGCAUGACAGAACUCUUUACAUAUCUAAAAUGAACAUGUUAUUUACAAAUGACUUGUGAUACUCAUAUAAACCAUGGAUCUGUAUGCUAACUGCUUUCAUUAUGGAGAUAUGCAUUUUUUUCCUGAUUGUUUAAUCAUUUAAACAUAUCAUUACUCCUAAAGGCAUGUGAGUUAAAGUGACUCCUCUUGGUGCGAUUAACUCAUAAGGCCAAAAAGAACCUCAGAAAUGAGCUCUUCUGCAGCUGAAGACAUUAAGAAUUUACUGGAAAGGACAAAACAAUAAUUUUCAUUUGGGAACUUCUCAGCUCUCUCAUGAUUAUCUUCCUGCCCUCAUUUAUUUUUAGGAUCCCCAACCUCUAAAAAGUUUUUAAGCAUCAAUCAAACAGAACAAUGCUUUAAGCUUCUCGUACUUGUAUUUUGUACUAGGUAGAAAUUUAUAAUCAUCAUACUGAUUUAAAAUGCAUGGGAAAUGAAAAGUAUCAUUCAAAUGAAAAACCAGUUAUUUAAAAAGUAGUAAUUAGUUGUUUUAAACAGAAGAAUCAUACUCAGAACUGUUUUUUCAGAAUAACAUAUGCCAGUGAUUCUCAAGUGUCAUCUCAGAACCAGCAGCACCAGCCAUCACCUGAGAGCUUGUCAGAAAUGGAGACUCUUCAGUCCCACCCAUCUACUUAGCCAGAAAUUGAGAGAGGGGACGAAGAAUCUAUGUUUUAACAUGCCCUGAAAGUGAUUCUAAGGCACAGUGAAGUUUGUGAACCACUGAUAGACUAAUUGAAGCAAAAACAAAAUAAUGUAGGACAUUUAUUCAUUCCUCAUGUAUGUAUAGAACCCCAAAGAAAACAGGUAGCUUUCUUUCAGUUUCAGAUAGUACACUUAGAAUGAAGAGAACAGGUUUCUUUUGGUGCCAUCCAGGUGAAUCUUUGAGGAAAUAGGCAAGUAUCUCUGAUAGGAAUAGGUCAUAUACUCUACAAUGGCUAAAAAAGGAUUAUUAGAAUUUAGUACAUUUUGCCUCUAGCCUUUAUGAUUAACUACAGUGGCCAGUAGAUUGACCCCAUGAAUGAAAUUGAGUCUAAAGUGAAAAGUGGCAAGAGAAAUCAGAAGAAAAAGACCGGAAGAAUCUCAUGAGAGGUAAAUUAAAGCCAGUGAUAAUUAUAGGCAGUUUUGUUUAAAAGGCAUUUCUUAAUCCCUUACUACUCAGACUUUAGUGCAAGGACCAGCAACACUGCGUCACCUGCAAAGUUGGUGGAAAUGCAGAAUCUCAGGUUCUGUAUCAGGGUAGCCCAUUGACAGUUCACAUGUUACCAAGAUGCCCGGCAGAUUUGUAUACACACUAAAAAUGGAAAAUCACUUGCUUACUAUAUUAGCAGGCAAUGGAUUUGCUCAAAGAUUGAUGCUAAUGGCAUAUAUUAAAGCAAUGUCAUACCUUUACAUGAGGAAUUCCAUGGGGCUGUGAUAGUUCCAAGGUGAUUUUUAGCAAAUACACAAUGCUGUUGCAAUUACAGGAGAAAUUACUUGUCCAAUUUAACUUAUUUUGGAAUAAAUUAAUUAUGGAACUAUUAUAUUUGAUGAAUGAUUUUUAAAUUUUACUUGUCUCUUCCUGAGGAUUUAAAGUCUGAGAUGAUAUUGUAAGUAUGAAAGGGACUCCACCUAAGGGAUCACUUUUUAUUGUUGUUGUAGACAUGGGGUCUUGCCCUGUCACCCAGGCUGGAGUGCAGUGGUGUGAUCAUAGGUUACUGUAGCCUCCAACUCCUGGACUCAAGGAAUCCUAUCAGGUUAGCUUUCCAAGUAGCUAGAAUUACGGGGAUGUGCCUCCACACCUGACUAUUUUGUUUUGUUUUGUUUUUUAGAGAUGAGGUCUUGCUGUGUUGCCCAGGCUAAUCUCAAGCCCUUGGGCUCAAGUGAUUCUCUCACCUACGUGUUGGGAUUAUACACAUGAUUAUAUACACUUGUCCCAAGGGAUAAUUUAAAUUUAUAUCUAAACUCAAAAAAUUCUGAGCUCAGACUUUCUUUAAUAUUUUUAAGUGAUAGAAAGUGUAGGGAUUUUUAUAUUUUUACAACUCAGUGCUUCAUCUCAGGAAAUUAAGAAAGUGAGACAUGUUUAUUAGGCUUAUAAUUUUAGGUAACUUGUCAAUAAUUUUUUAUUUAAUUUGAUCCUGAGAAAAAUUGCUAUAGUUAAUUCUCAAUUGUCCAUAUUGAGAGGAAACAAGAACAGUGACUACUGAAAUAAGUGACUGUUUGAGUUAUGAGAAGCAUUUCAGAAGAUUAUUUUGAAUUAAGACAGACUAAACCAAAUUUACAUAUACAUACAUAUGUAGUCAUUAAACAAGUGGUUUCAUGUGCUUGAUCUCGCAUGCCCUCAUAGCAUCACUAUGAGUUAGAGAAAACAAAUACUAUUCCUUGAGACAUCAAGCAGCUGAGUAUCCAAUUCAUAUAGUUGGUACUUGAGGGAUCUACGUCUAAAACCUUUAUCUUCUGACUCUUGGCCAAGUACCCUCUUGAAAAGCAAUCUAUGUAAAUCAAAGAAAGAAAUCUUUAGGUAGUAAAACAUACAUGUAAAAGUAUAUAAUUUAAAUAAAGGCAAAUUUUAAUUGAUGAUGAAUUACAUAGGGUGUCAACUAACAUAGUAAUUGGCAGGCCAUUCUGUAGAACACCAUAGAAAGUCCAUAGAUUCAAGUAGAUUAUAAAAAUUGGUUUAUACUAAUAGUGAACUGCUGAGACCAGCUCGGUCAUAGAGACCCCAACCCAGGUGGCACUGAAGGAAUUAAGAAACAGAAACAAAAAUAGAGUGCAAAAGUGGGAUCAGAGUUGGACUGUCAGGGAUCUGACAGCAUUUCCCAGCUGACAGCCCAGAGCAGACCUUGACCCACGUAUUUAUUGUUUGUGAACAAGUGAUUAUUUUUAAUAAGCAAGUGCUCAGUGGUUAUAGAAUAAAGAUAGACUAACCAGGCAGAUAGUGCGUGUUCACCACUAAGAUAGAAAUAAGCUAAAAGACACUCUUUGUGAGUCAGCAAUGGGGACAGGGUCAAAUAUCAUGUGUUUUAGCAGCUCAUUUAACUAGUGCGUGACCGGUACAUACUGCUUGCUUAUUCUAGCAGUCUCCUGCCUGGGGAUGGCUUGGUGUUCCUUGCCAUCCCCUCUUAGCAAACAACAUGUACUCCAUCACACACACGUCAAGACCUUUUCCCAACAGUGAACAAACAGCUCUAGAACCUGGUCUCCAUGCUUAAGUGUGUGUCAGUAUUAUAAAGGUGACUUCAGAUUUGUAUAGAAUGAUAGUAUAUUCAGUAAAUAGUGUUGACAUAAUCCUUGACAUAAUAUAUUAUCUAUUUGGGACAAUAGAUAAUAAAUCUGUUAUCUGUACCCCACUCCAUUUGCUGAAAUUAAUUGCAUAUAAUGUAAAAAAGGUAAAAGGAAAACUGCUAAAAAAAAAAAAAA